rnacentral:lncRNA from 1 species
UCCUCCUCAAUUUUUGAUUAAGGCAGAAAUAUACUUAAAUGGAGUUUCACCUCCCGUAGAGUUUCGGUUUUUUGAUGAUACUACAUCUCUCGCCUGCCUGACGUUUAAGUUGAAUGAAUUGUUGUCUGAUACUGAAAACAGGAAUGUGAGAAAGAACGAGUUUCAUGAAGUUUGGAUUUAUACUGACGGAAGAGUGACAUACAACCUUAUUGAGUUGAAGACCGAUGAAGAUGUGAAAGAUAUGUGAAGAUUAUUUUGUCGUAGGUUAACAAAGGGGUCGAUCAAGUUAUUGCUAAGAUUUCAAGGUCUAUCGACGAUAUAAUGAAGAUGAUGAAACAUCCAGAAUCAUCUUGUACUGUCUAGGCUUUCUUAUUUAUCACUAUUUUUUAAAAUUAUGUUUAAGUUAUGUAAUCGAUUAUCAAAUGUUAGUUUAUGUUGAUGUUGCAUGAAUGGAAGGUCAAAAGUAUUAGCUAAUAAAAAAGUUUCUGAUGAAGAACCACCUCACCAUGAACCACAUCAACAACAACCUCCUCAAUAACCUCCACAACAACAACCUCAUUUGCAACAGCAGCAUCUGGCACUCUCACCUCAUAUGUCACCUCAUCUCCGGAUUGCUCAACUGGUCGUACCUGUCAGAGUCGAGUGUUAUGAGAUGCUCGGAACUGACCCUGCUCGGCCAACCAUUUCCAUAGAUUCCAAUCAAUGUUAUAUCGUUAGUUUCUUUUCUCUUCACUCUUUGAUUUUGUUGUUGAUUUAUAUACAAGAAUUAUAAUCCAAUUGCAAUAAGAUUUGUGUAUCUUGUUUAAAAUUGGUAAAGUUUGAAUUUGAGAGGAAGAGAGAGUUGUUAUGGUUUUCUCUUCUGCGUCAGUGUAUUGAGGGAAGAAAGAAUUUUUCUUUCUGCAUUUUUGCAUACUGAGAGAAGGAACUAAGCUUAGUCUCAUAUGAUGCUUGCGGUUCUUUUUUUUCAUUUUUAUUAUUUUGUUUCUUACACCUGCCACUUAUCAUAUUUUGUUGGAGCUUUAAAAAACUCACAUUUUUUUUCUUUUUUUCUUUCUUAUCACUUUUAUAAUUAAAAAAAAAGGAACGAGAUAUAUGGGGUUAGGCGCUUU